UCUGGUGACUAUAGGUGAGAGGAAACACCCGUUCCCAUUUCGAACACGGCCGUUAAGCUCUCAACCGCCGAUGGUAGUACGACCCCGUUGUCGUGUGAGAGUAGGUUAUUGCCAGGU
rnacentral:rRNA from 1 species